rnacentral:rRNA from 1 species
GACGUAGGUGGCGAACGUUAUCCGGAAUUAUUGGGCGUAAAGGGUGCGUAGGCGGUCUGAUAAGUCAUCUGUGAAAUCUAUGGGCUCAACCCAUAGUCUGCAGGCGAAACUGUCGGGCUUGAGUAUGGGAGAGGUGAGUGGAAUUUCCGGUGUAGCGGUGAAAUGCGUAGAUAUCAGGAGGAACACCUGUGGCGAAAGCGGCUCACUGGACCAUAACUGACGCUGAUGCACGAAAGCUAGGGGAGCAAACAGG